rnacentral:rRNA from 1 species
CUGGCGGCGUGCUUAACACAUGCAAGUCGAACGGACUGGCCUUGAGCUUGCUUGGGGUUGGUGAGUGGCGAACGGGUGAGUAACACGUGAGUAACCUGCCCUCUUCUUUGGGAUAACGGUCGGAAACGGCUGCUAAUACUGGAUAUUCACUCAUUGGCGCAUGUUGGUGGGUGGAAAGAUGCACUUUUGGUGUUUUUGGUGGGGGAUGGGCUCGCGGCCUAUCAGCUUGUUGGUGGGGUGAUGGCCUACCAAGGCUUUGACGGGUAACCGGCCUGAGAGGGUGACCGGUCACAUUGGGACUGAGAUACGGCCCAGACUCCUACGGGAGGCAGCAGUGGGGAAUUUUGCACAAUGGGCGCAAGCCUGAUGCAGCGACGCCGCGUGAGGGAUGGAGGCCUUCGGGUUGUGAACCUCUUUCGCUCAUGGUCAAGCCGCGACUUUGGGUUGUGGUGAGGGUAGUGGGUAAAGAAGCGCC